ACCUGCAGCGUUAGCUUCUCCUAGGCUUUCCCAGGGGAUGAUCUUUGAUGACAAAACAGUCCCAGGAGCAUCGCACAGCCUUCAUAUCUCUGCUGGGAGACAGGGCAUGAGAGUGAGAACAAAGCAAAGACAGAGGAGAGGCAGGAGGGGAGCCGAAACAACACCAAGGACAAGUUUUUCAAGAGCCCUUGACGAUGGCAAAGAAGUGCUAGCUCCAUUUUUUGGCUGCUGCUCUCAUUAAUUAACAUGAUUUUUGCUUCCAUUGUGAUGAGAAGCACUUCAGAAAGAUGCCAAAUAUAAACACGAAAAUUAACAGCAAAGUGAGAUGAAGCCAGAAGAUGUUGGAUGGGGAGACACAGCUAAACUUUCCCACACCAACACUUUAUCGUAUUCCUUUCCUUAUCUGUCCCUUCCCUUCAGAGAUCAUAAAUCCCCCAGAGAAGAGAAACCUUUAUGGUUGAGGCUGCUAAUGUGGAUGAAGAUUGCUGAAGGCCCCCUGGCCUCCUCACCUAUCUGCAGAACCCUUUGAGAGCAAGGGCAAAUGAAGAAAAUACAUACACCUGACAGGUCGGUUUUAAAGCUCUUCAAAGGUAAACUGUUUUCCCUGAACCUUCUGAAGCCACAGAACUGUACCGAAAUAAUAUUUAGAUAGAGUUCAAAAGCAUCCAAAUCCCUUUUCAGACUCCAGAGUCUACCACUUGAAUGCCACACAUCAGUGAAAACCACUACAAAGCCACCUGGGCCCAGCGAGCACGUGGCCCCGAGCAUCCCCUCCAGCCAGCAGUUUGAACCUUGGGAGGUGGAGUUCAUCCCAAAGCCCUCUUCUUCCAAACCUCCCUGGCAGCCCUUGUAACACCAGGUGUGGCACCCUGAAGUAGUGCAAACAGCUCACAUCAUCCUUAUCGAGAGAGAGCAUAAACAACCAAUUCAGCACCAGGCCUAACGUCCUAAAAUAACUCGUUAGCCUCCUUUUCCUCUUCUUCUCUUUCCCCUCCAGAAGUUUAUACCUCCAUCUUCUCAUCCAGCAGCCUCAGAACUAAAUUAUGUGCAUUUAAUCUGACCUUAUUAAUUCCUGCUAAACAGUAUACUUCAUUUUUGGUAAUA